GUGCGCGCGGCUCGCUGGUAGGCGGGAGACACUUCUCAGAGUCGCCACCAGGGUAGAGGGCAGAUAAGAAGAAGAUACCACAGGAGGGCAUUGUCCCCCGGUACGAACACAACAGAAGCCUUCUAUUGUGGCUGCACAUGGAGAUGUGCACAACGACUUUUUAUCACAACUUUUCCCGCUGAGGCAUUUCCACAGCAGACGUACGUCGCAGCGUCGAGCCCUCACAGUUCAGUCUUGUUUCUUUCUUUUUUAAACAGUGAGGACAAUAUUUAGUUAAAUUCAUUGUUGUUGUCACAUAUCACAUUUCCGGCCAGAAUAUAUGAUAAUAAUUCCUCUAAUGAUAUACAAAAAAAAGAUGGGUUAUCAACUUGGCAGCUGCCCAGUAAUAGGUUGACAACAUAUAAUCAUUUGGAUAAACAUAAUUUCAAAUUUAUUGAGAAUUUGGAUGACUGUUUUAUUUACAUUCUUUAUAUUUAUAUUCCCUAAUUUUUGUAGAGUUUACAUUUGUAUUUCUUAGAUUUUUGAAAAAUUUGUAUUUCUUACUUUUUUUUUUACAUUUGUACUUCUUAUAGUUUUUCAUAUUUUGUAAUGUGUUGAUACCUGCUGAUGUAACAACCAACAAUUUAUUAUUUUCAAUGUCUGACAAUUAUUGGUCCUGUUCAGGAAAAUACAAUUGUCAGAAAGAUUAACACGAGUUCACUCGCAUAGAAAACUGAGGAACUAGUAAAUAUUUGUAUUUGAGAUUAUUGUUGCCAUUUGUUUUUAUGAUUUGCUCUUCUAAAUCCGGAUAUUUGUUUUUUAUUGAAAACAGUCUUACAUUAAGAAAGGUUUUUGUUUUUUUAAAUUGCCUACCAUAACCUUAGCUUCUAAUUUUUGGCAAACACUGUUGCUCACGCAAGCCACCAUAGCUAGGAAACAAAAGUAUUUGUUUAUUAAAAGUAUUUAUUUAUUAAUUGGUAAAUCCAUUCAUCCAGUUUUUUUAAUGCUUAUCUGGAUACAGGUCAUGUUAACUGAUUAGUUAUACUACACGGUUAAUAUGUAUUCCUGAGAAAUACUUAGAAAAUGAAUGUAAGUGACUGUAGGCCCUUUUGUCCCCACUGGUUUUCCAUAGUUGUUUGAAUGCCACAAUCAGGAAACACAUUCAAUUGCAUUCUCUUUGGUAUUUGGUGAACGUGGCAGAUCCCCAGUCCUAAAUAGCUAAAUAAAGAUUAUAAUAAGUGCUCGUAAUGACUCGCUAUGAUUAAUAAUCAUAUUGGGCCUCGCAGGAGAGGAGACAGGAACUACACUGUCCACCACUACGGCAGCUGUUGUGCAGUUGCAGUCAGUGGCCACUCGGCGGAGCUCUUCUCCACAUGACAUCCAUAAUCUAAAUAUAAUACAAACACCAUGUUGUUUAGGAGCACGAGGAGGAGAAAAACAAAAUCGCACUGAGAUUGUGUUAAAGCUGAGACUACUUCAUCUACACUCGUCUCUGUAACUACAGCGGUGGACAUGAAGGGAAUUGAAGGGAGAAAAAAAACUUCCAUCCAUCCAUUUUCCUAUCCUAAUCUGGGACACUGUGGCAAACUUCCAGCUUCCCGAGCCACGUCCUUGGGGCUUCUCCUGGGGGACUCAGACUCACUUGUAAUCCAUCCUGCGUGGAACAUGAGGGUCUGCACCCAGAAGAUAGGAAACACUGUCAGGAGGGAAGUUUGUGAGCUGGAGCCGGAGAGACAGGAGAUAAGAGUGUGUUUCAGGUGGAGGAGGCAGCAGGAUGCCUCAGGGGAUGGGUGGGCGCCUGUUGCAGAAGAGGCCCCUGCAAGUUCCUCCCCGCGGGGCCACUGAACACUUCUCCACUGAAAUGUCAGUAACGCUGAAAAGUCUGACCUCCGUAAAAUCACAUCCAGAGUCAGGAAACUGUGGCACAACUGUGUCCACGACGGCCUUGUCCACCCAAGGCCUGGAUUAGAAAGAGGACUUUCCUGCAUGAAGACAUGAAUUCAUCAUCAAUUUGUCACAGCAGUACAGAAAAAAAGGGGAACACAGGUUGUAAGAAAUAAAAUACAGAAUCCAAAAUCAAUGAAAUAGAAAACUAAAAUAAUGUGCUAUGUGCAAUGUCAGACACACUGGGAAGGACUUUAAAAUGGAAAUCUUAUUCUAUAUGUGGAAUAAAGAACCUUCCUAUACAGACUGUUGUUAUUCACGUAGAAUAUGUAUGUGAGGUUCAGACACUUUAUAUUCAUGUGCAUUUAUGCAUAAAUUCAUAAUCUGAUUCAAUUUGUCACGGCAGCACAAAAGAAAGUAGGAACACGGGGGGUUAGAGUUAGGGGGGGUUGUAAUAAAUGAAAUACAUAAUCCAAAAUCAAUGAGACGGACAUAGAAAUACUAAAAUAAUGUGAUAUGUGCAAUAUCAGGCACACUGAGAAUGACUUAUUCUACAAAAUGUGCAAUAUGCGAUAAAGACCGUUUAAGUACGGAUUGUUGAUAUUCAUGUAGAUUAUGUACAGAGGUUCAGACUAGGGCUGCAACUAACGAUUGAUUUCAUAAUGUUGAUUAUUUUAUCGAUUAGUUGUGUGGUCCAUAAAAUGUCAUAAAAUGUCAAUCGUUGUUUCCUCAAAACUCCAAGAUGA